GGCCCAAAGGGUAGUUUUAGAUGUAAUAAAAUAGGAUUAAAAUUUUACUUAACAGUUAUAAGUGAACGUAAAGCAUAAACCCAAAAACGAAAGUUAUACUAUAUUUUCUUGAAUCUACUACAGUUAAGAANCAAACUGGGAUUAGAUACCCCACUAUGCUUAANUUUAAAAUUGGACCUCUCGCCAGAGCACUACGAGCCACAGCUUAAAACUCAAAGGACCUGGCGGCGCCUACAUCCAUCUAGAGGAGCCUGUUCUAUAAUCGACACCCCCCGAUAAACCUCACCACCUCUUGCUAAUACAGUCUAUAUACCACCGCCUCAGUAUACCUUUUAAAAGAAUAAAAGUGAACGAAAUAAUUUUAAAUAAAAAAGUCAGGUCAAGGUGUAGCAAAUGAGCUGGAAAGAAAUGGGCUACAUUUUUUAUUUUAAAAAACACGGAAUAUUUUAUGAAAUAAAAUAUAAAGGAGGAUUUAGAAGUAAAAAGAAAAAAGAGUGUUCUUUUUAAAUAGGCAAUAGAGCACGCACACACCGCCCGUCACCCUCUCUAAAAUAAUUAAGCUUAAUUAUAAAAGAGGAAAGUCGUAACAUGGUAAGUCUACCGGAAGGUGGCCUUGGAUA
rnacentral:rRNA from 1 species